rnacentral:rRNA from 1 species
CAGUCGCCGCGGGAACACGGAGGGGGCUAGCGUUGUUCGGAAUUACUGGGCGUAAGGCGCACGUAGGCGGCUUGGUAAGUUAGAGGUGAAAGCCCGGAGCUCAGCUCCGGAAUUGCCUUUAAGACUGCCGAGCUAGUAGGUGAGAGAGGUAAGUGGAAUUCCGAGUGUAGAGGUGAAAUUCGUAGAUAUUCGGAAGAACACCAGUGGCGAAGGCGGCUUACUGGCUCAUUCUAGACGCUGAGGUGCGAAAGCGUGGGGAGCAAACAGGAUUAGAUACCCGCGUAGUCCCUGUCUCUUAUAC